UGCUGGACAGAGCACGUCCAGCAAAAGAAAUUGUUGUUCUGGAUGGCCCAAUGUUUCUUCGAAGGGAGGACUUUCGGAGUUUGGGGCUGGAUGAGGUGGUGGAGAGCAACAUUGGGAAUGUGUGCUUCAUGCUGGUAGAGGAGGCAGCCAGGAGACAUACAACUUGCAGAAGCAGUGGCUAAUGGGCCGUGGGUGGAGAAGACGGGCAAAGAUUCUGAU